GAUGAAGAACGCAGUGAAAUGCGAUAAGUAAUGUGAAUUGCAGAAUUCAGUGAAUCAUCGAAUCUUUGAACGCACAUUGCGCCCCUCGGUAUUCCGUGGGGCACGCCUGUUCGAGCGUCAUUUACACCCUCAAGCGCAGCUUGGUGUUGGGCGUCUGUCCCGCUCUCCGUAGCGCGGACUCGCCUCAAAGUCAUUGGCGGCGGUCGUGCCGGCUCCUCGCGCAGCACAUUUGCGCUUCUCGGAGGCCCGGCGGAUCGGCAUCCAGCAAGCUACUUUUUAUGACUUGACCUCGGAUCAGGUGAGGAUACCCGCUGAACUUAAGCAUAUCAAUAAGCGGAGGA
rnacentral:misc_RNA from 1 species